ACUGUUUUAGUACAAAAAGUAUAAUUGACUUCCAAUCAAAAGGUUGAAAAAUCAAAACAGAA
rnacentral:tRNA from 1 species